AUGUGUCAGGGCACACACAAACACCCACACACGCGUGGUCACACGCAGCUCCGUGUCAGGGCACACACACACACACGUGUGGUCCCACACAAUGACACGCGUGUCCCCGCCGCUCUCCUCCUUGUCAGGGCACACACACACACACGCGUGUUCACACGCCAUGACAUGCGUGUCCCUGACUCUUUCCCCCGUCUCAGGGCACACACACACACACACACGCGUGCGCGCGGUCACACACGCAAUGACAUGCGUGUCCCUGACUCUUUCCCCCGUCUCAGGGCACACACAUGGUUCUCACACACACACGUGUGUUCACACACCAUGACACGCGUGUCCCCGACUCUUUCCCCCGUCUCAGGGCACACACGUGGAUCUCACACACACACACACAGGUGGUCACACACCAUGACACACGUGUCCCCACCACUCUCCCCCGUCUCAGGGCACAGACACACACACACACGCGUGUUCACACACAAUGACACACAUGUCCCUGACUCUUUCCCCCGUCUCAGGGCACACACACACACACACACACACACACACCAUGACACGCGUGUCCCCGACUCUUUCCCCCGUCUCAGGGCACACAGACACACACACGCGUGUUCACUCGCCAUGACACGCGUGUCCCCGCCGCUCUCCCCCAUCUCAGGGCACACACACACACACACUUGUUCACACGCCAUGACACGCGUGCCCCUGACUCUUUCUCCCAUCUCAGGGCACACACACACACGCACACGCCAUGACACGCGUGUCCCCGACUCUUUCCCCCGUCUCAGGGCACACACGUGGGUCUCACUUACACACACACACAUGGGUCUCACACACACAUGUGGGUCUCACACACGUGGGUCUCACUUUCACACACACAUGUGGGUCUCACACACACGUGGGUCUCACACACGUGAGUCUCACUUUCACACACACACGUGGGUGUCACUUUCACACACAUGUAGGUCUCACACACACGUGGGUCUCACUUUCACACACGUGGGUCUCACUUUCACACACACACGUGGGUCUUACACACACACACGUGUAUCUCACUUUCACACACGUGGGUCUCACUUUCACACACACGGGUCUCACUUACACACGUGAGUCUCACUUUCACACACACACGUGGGUCUCACACACACGUGGGUCUCACACACACACACGUGGGUCUCACACACACACACGUGGGUCUCACACACACACACGGGUCUCACACACGUGAGUCUCACUUUCACACACACAUGUGGGUCUCACACACACACGUGCAUCUCACUUUCACACACGUGGGUCUCACUUUCACACACACGUGGGUCUCACUUUCACACACACGUGGGUCUCACACACACACACGUGGGUCUCACUUUCACACACACGUGGGUCUCACACACACGUGGGUCUCACACACACACACGUGGGUCUCACACACACACACGGGUCUCACUU
ensembl:lncRNA